rnacentral:rRNA from 1 species
CCUACGGGAGGCAGCAGUGGGGAAUAUUGGACAAUGGGCGAAAGCCUGAUCCAGCAAUGCCGCGUGAGUGAUGAAGGCCUUAGGGUUGUAAAGCUCUUUUACCAGGGAUGAUAAUGACAGUACCUGGAGAAUAAGCUCCGGCUAACUCCGUGCCAGCAGCCGCGGUAAUACGGAGGGAGCUAGCGUUGUUCGGAAUUACUGGGCGUAAAGCGUGCGUAGGCGGUGAUUCAAGUCAGAGGUGAAAGCCUGGAGCUCAACUCCAGAACGGCCUUUGAAACUAGAUCGCUAGAAUUAUGGAGAGGUAAGUGGAAUUCCGAGUGUAGAGGUGAAAUUCGUAGAUAUUCGGAAGAACACCAGUGGCGAAGGCGACUUACUGGACAUAUAUUGACGCUGAGGUACGAAAGCGUGGGGAGCAAACAGGAUUAGAUACCCUGGUAGUCCACGCCGUAAACGAUGAUAACUAGCUGUUCGGGCUCUCAGAGCUUGUGUGGCGCAGCUACGACAUUAAGUUAGUCCGCCGUGGGAGGUACGGUCGGCGAAGUAAUUAAACUACUUAAUUAGUAGUUAGUUAGGCGUUGAGACGUGCCGACGGACGACGACGAGGGGAGGAGG